GACUAAGCUCUUCCCUCUGGACCUGCAGAGGAAGAAAAACUGCUUCAUAACCUGCAACUGAGGAGUCACCUUCAGGGGAAGAGGUGGGCCAGGGAGGAGGAGCCAGCCUCGGGCACAGAGAACCCAAGCCAGGACCCGUCAGGACCCUGGAGAGCUCCGAGCCAGCUGGAUGUUCAGUGUUCUGCACCAUGCAGCAAAUCUGGCCAAGUCGGGAGAAGUCUCCUUUCUCAAACCCCCUUCUGACUUUUAAAGGAAGGGAUGCCUUCCACUCUGUUGAGAACUUGUGUUAUCCAAGGACGCAGAGGCUAAAAAAUAGAAUCUUGGAGUGUUGGGGCGGAAAGUGGCUGUCACUGACUUCCCUCUGAGAUUCCAACCUCAAAUCUGACUACAUCACAUGAUCAGUGGUCAAGUUCUGGUUCCAAAGCUGGUCUCUAACCUCGGGGAGGAAAUUUAACACCAGAAAGCCUACAAUGGAAGAGCUACUAAAAGAAACAAUAAAUGGCUCACAUUCUGUGAGUAGCGUGUGUAUUUGGUUCUAGAGCCCCAGAGAAGUGAAAUGAACUAGACAAAGUUACCCCUAAAAUGUUCCAUAUGAUUUGGAUGUGUGUUCUCUCCAAAUCUCAGGUUGAAAUGUGAUCUCUAAAGUUGGAAGUGGGGCCUGGCGGGAGGUGAUUGGAUCAGGGAGGCGGAUGUCUCAUAAAUGGUUUAGCACCAUCCUCCUGGUGAUGAGUGAGUUCUCGCUCUGGUAGUUCAUGAGAGAUCUGAUUGUUCAAAAGAGCAUGGCACCUCCCCCCACCACUUCUUGUGCCCACUCUCACCAUGUCACAUGCUGGCUCCCUGCUGCCUUCCGCCAUGAUUUUAAGCUUCCUGAGGCCUCACUAGAAGCCAAGCAGAUGUUGGUACCAUGCUUCUCAUACAGCCUCCAGAAACAGGAGUCAGUUAAACCUGUUUUCUUUGUACAUUGCCCAGUCUCAGGUAUUCUUUUAUAGUGACACAAAAUGGCCUACCACAACGAUGCCUCACAUUCUCAAGAGAAACCAAAUGUGCAAAGGGUUUAAGAGUCUGUUUGACUCUAACUCCUCCUCAGAGAGCAGCAAUGGAUCUUUUGGGGUUCCCGCAAGGUAUUCCCAUCUAAUGGCACCAGAAGAGUGGUCCACAAAGAAUCUAGGCUUUGCAGUUCUUUGUACUCUACCCUAUCUUCCUUUUCCUCUUUCCCCAGUAGAAAGCCUGCAAUGUGAAAGAGCUACAUAAAAACCAAUAAA
rnacentral:lncRNA from 1 species